CCCUUAGAUGUUCUGGGCUGCACGCGUGCUACAAUGGCGUUUCCAGCAAGUCUGCGAACCCGAGAGGGCCAGCGGAUCUUCGAAUUGGCGUCGUGAUCGGGACAGUCGAUUGCAAUUAUUUGACUCAAACGAGGAAUUCCUUGUAAUCGCGAUUCAUCAUAUCGCGCUGAAUACGUCCCUGCCCUUUGUACACACCGCCCGUCGCUCCUACCGAUUGAGCGAUCCGGUAAAUGUUUUGGAUUGGUGCCGGGGCGGCUAGCUGCCGGUCGCUACGAAAUUUUGUGAACCUUAUCGCUUAGAGGAAGGAAAAGUCAUAACA
rnacentral:rRNA from 1 species